AAUCUUACCGGGUCCGGACACACUAAGGAUUGACAGGUAAAGUAAUCAAUUCUUCUUUUAUGAAGAUUGGUUCUGCAAAUAUGCUAGUCCUUUCAUGAUUGUGUGAUAGGUGGUGCAUGGCCGUUCUUAGUUCGUGGAAUAAUCUGUCUGCUUAAUUGCGUUAAUAUAUGGUGNCNAUGUGUCUGAUAAACCCUCAGUUUGGAUGUUUCACCUUUAGGGGUGAUAUUCCAUUCAGAGGCUGGACCUUGACACUCUAUGAAACGAACGUGACCUCAACCUCUUGUUAGCAGAUGUCAUUUGAUAUAAUUUUAUAAUUUAUCAGAAAGGAUUCGGCAUACGAGGGGGAUUGCCAAGUUGAAAGUGGAUGAAAGUUGAGGCAAUAACAGGUCUGUG
rnacentral:rRNA from 1 species